rnacentral:rRNA from 1 species
GACGAACGCUGGCGGCGUGCUUAACACAUGCAAGUCGAACGGAAAGGCCCUGCUUGCCGGGUACUCGAGUGGCGAACGGGUGAGUAACACGUGGGUGAUCUGCCCUGCCCUUCGGGAUAAGCCUGGGAAACUGGGUCUAAUACCGGAUAGGAGCCAUUUUUAGUGUGAUGGUUGGAAAGUUUUUUCGGUGUAGGAUGAGCUCGCGGCCUAUCAGCUUGUUGGUGGGGUAAUGGCCUACCAAGGCGGCGACGGGUAGCCGGCCUGAGAGGGUGGACGGCCACAUUGGGACUGAGAUACGGCCCAGACUCCUACGGGAGGCAGCAGUGGGGAAUAUUGCACAAUGGGCGCAAGCCUGAUGCAGCGACGCCGCGUGGGGGAUGACGGCCUUCGGGUUGUAAACUCCUUUCGCUAGGGACGAAGCUUUUUGUGACGGUACCUAGAGAAGAAGCACCGGCUAACUACGUG